rnacentral:rRNA from 1 species
GGAUGAACGCUGGCGGCGUGCCUAAUACAUGCAAGUCGAGCGAACGGACGAGACGCUUGCUUCUCUGAUGUUCGCGGCGGCCGGGUGAGUAACACGUGGAUAACCUACCUAUAAGACUGGGAUAACUUCGGGAAACCGGAGCUAAUACCGGAUGAUAUUUUGAACCGCAUGGUUCAAAAGUGAAAGACGGUCUUGCUGUCACUUAUAGAUGGAUCCGCGCUGCAUUAGCUAGUUGGUAAGGUAACGGCUUACCAAGGCAACGAUGCAUAGCCGACCUGAGAGGGUGAUCGGCCACACUGGAACUGAGACACGGUCCAGACUCCUACGGGAGGCAGCAGUAGGGAAUCUUCCGCAAAGGGCGAAAGCCUGACGGAGCAACGCCGCGUGAGUGAUGAAGGUCUUCGGAUCGUAAAACUCUGUUAUUAGGGAAGAACAUAUGUGUAAGUAACUGUGCACAUCUUGACGGUACCUAAUCAGAAAGCCACGGCUAACUACGUG